UCAGUGGUUGCUGAGUUAGAGCUUAACAGCGUAAAACCCCCAAAACAAUCCACCGCCGGACACGAUCGAAGAGG
rnacentral:sRNA from 12 species